CGAAACCCAACCAGCUCCUUGCCGGAGCGGCUUUCGCUCUUGGGUGAUUUUUUUUCUCUCACACAGCGCAGGAAAGCGCCGCGGUUACGCAGCGGGACGGCAGUGGAAAAAAGCAAGGUCUGACUGAGGGAGAGAACCCGGCUCUCCGUUUCAGCCCUGAGUUUUAAAUCGCUUUUUAUUUUUGAAACCUUCCUUCAGCGCCCAGCGCUCUGCCGGCUUUAGAAGUUAGCACCGGUUUCCCCGCCGGAGGAACGAGCCCCAAAAAGACCCCAAAAAGGGUCGAAUUUGGAGCCUGCCCUCUCAUCUUAGCACUACCACUGCCAUGAUAUGAAGCAGGUAGGACAUGGUUGCGAAACGAUGUAGAAAUUUCAACGUUGGUGUAGCCCUCUGGAAGAACUCACCCCCCAUCUUUUAUAUGAAUAUAAAAUAAAAUCCUUUAAAACAUCAAAUUAAUCGACUUUUUUAUUUAUACAUAGUUUUCUUAGCAUGAGCUGCCCAAAAAAAGAGUGGACAUUUUGCUGCAAUUAAUACACUCCCCCAACCCCCACAGCACUCCUAAUAACCAAUAUUGGUAAUUGCUGGCUCUAAAUGACACAACAAUUAAGCCUCUACCUAAAUUUCCAGGAAUAGGUGUUUAUCUAAAUCUGGUUUGUCUUUGUUUCCAUAGCAAGGCCCAGAAGCUUAACUGCUGCUUUUUCAAAGUGCAUUUGGUUUCUUUGUCUCUACAGAGAAAGAUUUCUGUCUUUUUCCAAAUUAAUUUCAGGAAUGGAGUCUUAAAAACACAUGGUGUUGGUGGAUGCAAAUGGAGAGGGGUCCUAGAAAAAGACAUCUGUUUUAUUGCAGUAACUAUUUUGAUCAUCUCAAAUGACAUUAAUAUUUUGCAUUCUGUUAAAGAUUUAAUGCUGUAAAGACUUCUUGCAAUUAGAUCAGUCUUUGUUAGCAAAUAUGAGGCAGCUGAAUCCAGGCCUUUGUGUGAACUUGCCUUAUCUGCUGGGAGAGGAAGACCUGCUGUGUUUAAAAAUAACAUUUCUAAGUCACCUGUGGACAGCUGCAGGUCUGCAGGAGCCAGUAUCUGGUGUGAGGUUUGGCAAUUUCAUGCCUUCCUAACCUCCUUUUUUAGGAACAGUGGGGAAAACCAGAGCCCCAUAUGGAAGGCAUCGUUCCCGCCAGCAUUGGGGGAGAUGAUGUCCUCCUGAGUUUCGCAUUGGGUUGUUUAAGCCUGUGGGAGCUGCUAAAAAUUGGUUGUUUUUUUUUUCCCCUGCAGGCAUGCUGUAGCCUGAGGAAGGUCUGGUGCUGUUGGUGCAUUGGGUUUGACUUUGGGGUUGUGUGUGUGUGUUAACAAAAUGGUCACUUCUAAUUGCGUUUUUAAAGCUUUGAUUUCCUUCCAAGGAUUUUGCUUAAUCAUCUUGAGUAGGCUGAGGGAAGGAAAGAAUUAGCUGAGGUCAGGGAAGUUGAAGCUGCCCGUGUUACUUCUCAGAAGUCAGGCUUAGUCUGAGGGAUCCUGAAGGCAGGAAGAAAUCUGCCUCCUGUUCUCUUCCCUGCUGCACGCUGAAAGAGUGAAGGGAAAUCAAACCCCGAAAAAGCCAAACAAAACAGGGAAACUAUGUAGCGUGAUAGGCUGUGCUGGGUGCCUCCCUCUGUGUGAAUGGUCCAGAUUCCCCUUCCUUUGGGAGAAAUGCAACUCGGAUGUGAUUCAUCACUAAAAUAGAUUAGAGGGAUUGUAGUUUAGAAGUGCCUGCUUGUCUGCACUGAUGGUGGAGUCUAGACAGCUCAGAUGGAGACACAUACAUUACAGGCACCAAAAGGUGGGGGAGAGGAUUCCUGUUGUAAAGUCCUUGGGAAUAAUGGGCAGUUUAAUAAUUUCUAGUGAAUAUUCACAUGGAAGGGUGAAUAUCAGAAGAGGAAAGCUGUGUUGAGCACUUCCUGAAAAAGUGCUAGUCAUUAUGAUGAUAAAAAGAAAAAUCCAUCCACCACCUCCAUUCAGUCAUAUGUGUUUCCAUUAAAGCGUAGCCAGGGCGUCCCUUCGCACCUUAAAGGUUGCAAAUACAGCAGUUUGGGUUUUUUCCCAAAGAGGAUGUUUGUGGCUCUGGCAGAGGUGUGGGUGGGGGCACUGUAAUGUCUUCAGGAGGAUAACCUACCCCUUAAAACCUAAGGGCUGGGAGAACAGCUCUCUUCCAGGUGUAUUUCUGAGACUGGGGCAUGAACCUUAAAGGUAGAAUGUGCUGUGCUUCAACUGAGAUGACAGGGAUGUGAGUUAAUGGUAAAUAAACCUUACUGGGAAGGAAAAAAAAGGGUAUCGUCCCUCAGACUUUGCCUGUCAAAUUAACUGCGUAACCACUGCACUUAGGUUUGCCCUUAACGUCCAAGCAUCAAGUGUAGUCUGUCCGUGAAGUCGCCGGUGCCGAAACCGCUAAUGAUGGCAUCAAGGUUUUAAGCGUGAAAGCUUCUUAGUGGGUGAUUAGGUAUCUCUCUCCAGAUCAUUAGGGUCAGCUGGUAACGCUGCUGGGAGAGGAGAAUGCAGCACGUUUAUGAGUGGAAAAUCACAGACUCGGAGAGAAGUGAGAGCUUCGAUGUUGUGUGGAGGAGAAACAAUUUGUAUGUGCUAGGACGCAGUUCUAAUUUUAAAAAAAUCUUUAGGGGAAGCAAAAACUGAGUUUCUGCAAGGAGGAAGAGGGAGGCGUGUGCUGUGUAGAUGCCACAGUAAUAAACCCCAUGAAAACGCUGCAUUAUUAUUUAAGUGCUUCAUACAAGAACAAAAAUAGCCUGUUUAGUAUGUGUGGCAUUAAGAAACAAGACCUCUCUGCGAAUCCCUCCUUCUCGCAAAACCCCUGUAACAAAGGUAGAGGACCUGUUCUUUGAUUUCCCGAUACUUGCUGGGUUUCAGAAACAAACACCCCGUCUCCUUCCAACCACAAGUUCUUGUUCCUGUUUGGGAAGUGAAACAUGGAGCUGUUCAAAUACUUCUCUGAAAAACAUCUGGAGUUCAGCAUGCAGUUGCUUUAUUUAGCUCACAGUGAUGAUUUUGACUAGAAGACACUUAGGAACCUAGGAUGGCAGCAAGAGUACCUUUUGGAGAAUCCUUUUGAAGAGAGGGAAGUGGUUUUCAGGGCUGUCUUCUCCUUUCUUCCACAGUUGCCUUGUAUUCUCCACAGAUACCUGGAAAUAUUCAUUGUUUUUAUACCAGGGUAAAAGUAGGAAAACGUCAUCAAAGCCUUUAGAAAUCAGGAGAGUAAUUAAGACCCAUCUCCAGCAGAUCCUGGCAGUAAAGACAUUCACGUAUUUUAUCAUCUUAUGUCUGUUUGAGAGUAGAAAGCUUUUCUAGCACCUUAGUGUGUGAAAGAAAGGCACUGUUCUCCUGAAAGUGAAUUCCCAAGAAUGAAGAGCGCUGGGUCCCCACGAACAAAUGGUGCCGGGCUGGGCUGAUUGAGAGACGCAGAGUGCCCUACUUAUUCCGGCUGCUACAGGUUUGACCUCCUUGUAUCAUCUGACACCUCGUUUGGUAAGAGGUUGCUGCAAGAUCUCAAACCCUCAAAUUAUGUAAGAUUUACACAGUUGCUUUGAAGUUAGUCCCUCCCUUCAAUGUUUGUUUACUGCCUGGUAUGUCCUGUUGUCUGGAUUAUGAAGGAUGAAUAGUCACAGAAAGGAAGCUAUUGGGUUUGUACAAAUUUUCUAUUCCUCUUCCCUUUCUAAACCUGUUGGGAGCUGUAUUUAUCCCAGUUUCAGAGUCCGGGAAUACACUGGAGAGGUCCUGUGCUGGUUGGGGCUUUGCUGGGUAAAUACUGGCUUGUAAGUUUUCUGUUUGUUUGUUUUGAGGCGGAGGGAAGUGAGGAAUGGCUUGUUGUGUUGUUAGAGGAGAAACAAAUAGAUGCUAUCUAACAGUUAUUUCAGAAGGAGUUUAUGUUGGUUUUGCUUUUUAAUAUGCAUUUUCCCUGUAACGUUUAGAAAUCACAUGUGAAAAAAGGAAGAUGCUUAAUUAAUACUGUACGUGUGGCUUACAGACUAUGCCUUGCUGUGCUGCUAUGGUUUGGAGGUUUUAAAGUCUGCUCUCCGUAAGCUCUAAGUCCCGUAAGGGGAAGCACGCAGGUGGAACACGUAGGCUUUGCGUGUGGGAAUUCCUCAGAGGACUUUUCUUCUGUCCUGUAAUCUCCAGUGUACCAGCUGAAUUGCUACACGCUGCUCCUCCUUUCCCAGCCCUGGUAACUAUGCUGCUGCUGCCAUGGGGUAUGGAGACCAGAGACGUAAAGGCUGUAGAUCCAGGGAGUUGUGAGGAUGCCUUCCAUUUUAAGUCAUCCUUUGCGUGAGAAUAACAGCUACCGUUCCGGUUUUACGGAGUGCUCAUGUGCAUCUUCCAGUUGCUGUAGUUGGUCUAAAUAAGAGUAUUAAAAAAAAAGCCUCCAAAAUUAUUCUUCCCUUCGUCUCUUUGGCAUUUCUUUAAAAGGCUGUAGAAGAUGUAAGGCAAUAGAAAUUCUGUUUGAAAACCACCCUUAAUAAAUGUACUUCUGAUGGAGAGCUAAGGUCACUCUGUUUUUUUCCAGAUUUCACUCUUUGGACAAUGCUGCCCAUUUUUAGAAGUUCUAAACUUCCACAGCACUAUCUGCCAUAAAUGGAAUUUCUAUAUUAAGCUUUCAUGUUCCCAGUUUUACUUAAGAGGCAUUGUUUAUCAGCUGUGUAUCUUGGCGUGCCUUUCAUCACAACUCCCAUCCGAAGAACAAUUCUAUUUGUUUAUAAGAAAGGAUGCACCAUCUCAAAACCGCUCUGCAUUAGGAAUUUCAACAAAUGGCAUUUUGUGUAAUGCUAAAAAACAGUCCUGUGAGGAGGGAGGCGAUGAUCUCACCCGCCUUUUGGCAGGGCAGAGCACAGGGUCGAGGGCUUGCCGCCCACGCAGGCGGGGAGAGCAGCCCCUGGGGAGCAGAAGGUAAGGAACGGCCGAGGGUGGAGUCGAUGGGGCACGUGUGAGGCCAGAUGGCAGACAGAUGAGAGCUGUUGCACCGCAAGUUGCACCAGGAGAGGUUUAAAUUAGUUAUUAGGAAAAAUGUCUUCACUUGAAAGAGUGGUCAAGUAUUGGAACAGGCUGCCCAGGGAGGUGGUGCAAUCCCUGGAGGUGUUUAAAAAUUAAAUGAAAUUAAAAAAGACGUGGAGCUUAAUGACAGGGUUUAGUGGUGGGCUUGGCAGUGCUUGGUUAAUGGUUGGACUUGAUGAUCUCAAAGGUCUUUUCCUACCUAAAUGAUGCUAUGAUUCUGUGAUCCUGCACUUGGACAUGAUAGUGGUUCCAUUUGAAAUGACAUUUCAUUCUGCUGGCUUAUAGAUGUACUUGGAGUAGAGUUUUGCCUGUUUGUUUGGUGGGUUUUUGUGUGUGUGUGUGUUUGUGGUGUUUGGUUGUUUUUUUUUUUUUUGAAGAUGCAUAGUAAUCCCCUUCUGACAGCAGUGCAGUUGUUGAUUAGGAAACUGCCUUUAAAUGUUGCUUUCUUGGUAUUUUGAAAAGAUUUGGCCUCCUGCAAGCCAGGAGAUCAAGUUCCUCAGCCUGCUCCCUUGGUGAUUCAUUGAAUGACCUUGGGCAAAGCCCUUGGCCUCUUCUUACCUUGUUUUUCCAUCUGCAAUGCAGGGAUGUUAAGACAUACCUACCUCCCAUAAGUCUUGAACUGUCUUUUUUUUUU